rnacentral:rRNA from 1 species
GGGGUAACGGCCUACCAAGGCAACGAUGGGUAGCCGAUCUGAGAGGAUGAUCGGCCACACUGGAACUGAAACACGGUCCAGACUCCUACGGGAGGCAGCAGUGGGGAAUAUUGCGCAAUGGGCGAAAGCCUGACGCAGCGACGCCGCGUGAGGGAUGAAGGUCUUCGGAUCGUAAACCUCUGUCAGGAGGGAAGAAACUAGGGUGCUCUAAUCAGCAUCCUACUGACGGUACCUUCAAAGGAAGCACCGGCUAACUCCGUGCCAGCAGCCGCGGUAAUACGGAGGGUGCAAGCGUUAAUCGGAAUCACUGGGCGUAAAGCGCACGUAGGCUGUUAUGUAAGUCAGGGGUGAAAGCCCACGGCUCAACCGUGGAACUGCCCUUGAUACUGCACGACUCGAAUCCGGGAGAGGGUGGCGGAAUUCCAGGUGUAGGAGUGAAAUCCGUAGAUAUCUGGAGGAACAUCAGUGGCGAAGGCGGCCACCUGGACCGGUAUUGACGCUGAGGUGCGAAAGCGUGGGGAGCGAACAGGAUUAGAUACCCUGGUAGUCCACGCCGUAAACGAUGGACGCU